ACGGGUGAGUAACACGUAUGCAAUCCACCUGUAACAGGGGGAGUAACCCGGAGAAAUCCGGACUAAUACCCCAUAAUAUGGGCGCUCCGCAUGGAGAGCCCAUUAAAGAGAGCAAUCUUGGUUACAGACGAGCAUGCGCUCCAUUAGCCAGUUGGCGGGGUAACGGCCCACCAAGGCGACGAUGGAUAGGGGUUCUGAGAGGAAGGUCCCCCACAUUGGAACUGAGACACGGUCCAA
rnacentral:rRNA from 1 species